rnacentral:rRNA from 1 species
GAUGUGGUUAAGUCCCGCAACGAGCGCAACCCCUAUUGUUAGUUGCCAUCAUUCAGUUGGGCACUCUAGCGAGACUGCCGGUAAUAAACCGGAGGAAGGUGGGGAUGACGUCAAAUCAUCAUGCCCCUUAUGACCUGGGCUACACACGUGCUACAAUGGUUGGUACAACGAGUUGCGAGUCGGUGACGGCGAGCUAAUCUCUUAAAGCCAAUCUCAGUUCGGAUUGUAGGCUGCAACUCGCCUACAUGAAGUCGGAAUCGCUAGUAAUCGCGGAUCAGCACGCCGCGGUGAAUACGUUCCCGGGCCUU